rfam:Prunus persica cultivar Lovell chromosome G3, whole genome shotgun sequence.
GAAUAACACUUUUUGCUAUUUUCGACCAAUAACGCAGUGAUACAUAGAAUAACUUUUUCACGUGUCAUUGUGUUAUUGGUCGAAAAUAACAAAAUAGUGUUAUUC